UCUAUUUUAGGAAGAUUUUUCUUCUUCAUUAUAAAUGCUAAUAUGAAGAUGUGGGUUGUGAUUGACAAUUCUCGCGGCUGCUUGUCUUUAAUUACGAAUCUGCUACCGUUCAUGCUGAAAACAAUAGUUCCGUGGGCUUGAUAAUUAGCAGAAGGGCUUCGUGCCGGAACGAGUAGUGCGAUUUCCUUCCUGAGGGAGCCACCUUACAAGAAGAUAGCGUUAAGUGCACUUUACCGGUCUAGUUACGCAUAUCUUGUCAUAGAUGAUCGGCUAUGAUGGCCAAUAAAUUUGAAUCAGAUUUCAAGAUCUAUCAGAUCAGCAAUUUUGCGUUAAAAAAUCAGAGGUAAGUGCAAUUUGGAAGAAAAUUAGACAUUUCAGUUCUCUCCUCAAGUUUGGCGGAAUAUAACCCCUUCAUCAGGACUUUAAAACUAUUACACGUAGUUCAUAAGGUUAAAAAAUGGGAAAA